UAAAUAAGGAAUCCAUUCUGUUAUCGCUUUCCUACUGCACCUCUUCCAAAAUGAGCAGGGCUGCUGCUGAGCAGAUAUCCCUAUUCCGCUCCCAGAUUGAAGACGGGAGUUUCAGCGAUGUUACUCUUCUGAUCCUUGAAUCGGUUCUCGUCGCCAAGAACAUGCGAGCUCUGCUGGAGAUCAGGUCGAGUCUCCAAAAGCUUCUUCGAUCGAAGGCCAAGCUUGUAAUGGAUAGAAUCGCUGCAAAGUCUGCUGAUGAGAAACUCAGAGUUGCCGAGUUCUUCGUCAAAGCGUUCGCGCUAGUAGGAGACGUGGAAAGUUGCUUGGCUCUGAGGUAUGAGGCGUUGGUUCUAAGGGAGACCAAGUAUUACAAUUAUAAUGGCUUUCGAGUUUCAUAUCAGGAAUGGUAUACCUUUGCAAAGGAUUCAUUUUAUAAUGGAUAUUAUGCAAUAGCUGUUAAGGGAUUUGACAGCGCACUUUCUUGCUUUCAGUCUGAAUGGAAGGCAAAUGAAAAUAAUGUUGAUUUCCUUCUGAAAGAUAAUAUUGUCGAUAAAAUUAGAAAACUCAGAGAUGAAGCUUCUUCAAUGAUUUCAUCAAGUUCUGUUCAGGCACUUACCUCCAAAUACUUGAAAAGAAAGGCCACUGAAGAUGACCAAAGGUGCACUUUAUUUUCCACCAACUCCCAGCAAGCUGCAAGCUCAAUGUUCAGACUUGGGAUCAAUAAGAGAAAUGCACAUAAACUUUUCCAGAGCCAACGACAGAAACAACUGAUGUCAGGGCCAUAGCAUAUUUCUUUUGACGUUCAUUCUUUCUGACGUUUAUGGGGAAAUGGUUCUACUGCUCUUUUUUUGAAGGAUUACCACGAUUUGUCAGAUCCAGAUUUAUGGUUACCACUUUUUAUUUUUUACUUGAAGGAGGAUCAUAUUUCUGUUGAUAUAAGACAGCUGCACUCUGAGAUGGCUUUUACAUUCAAUUUAAUUCAAAUAUAGCUUUCAGUGAAGGUAAUUUAGCUAUAUGAACCAGUGAGCUACACAGGCUGCUAAAAGCCCGCUUUUCCAGUCUACCCAUCUUCCCCUUUACCUAAGCCUCCUUGCAUUUUGCCAUACGCCUUAAUUAACAUAGGAUUAUGCGAUUCCAUAGCUAACCGUCGGGAUGACUUCUUCUGGGCAAGGUUCUCCCUUUUAUAUGCAUCUAUACUUUGUUUUGUAGGGUGUUAACCAUUCGAAUUCAAGGCUAGGAACUUUAGAACGGAGGGGGUCAUGGUCUGACUAAUUUGAGGAGAGGUGAGGUGAAGCAAGGAUACACAAGAGUAAAGGAGAGAUAAAUUGAGUCAUGGGUGGAACUUUUUUUUAUUGGUUAUGUUUAAACAAGAUUUAGAAGGAGCAGUUUGACAACGGAAGAAUGGUCCAUUUUUCAUAAAUUAUAUGAUAUGAUACUUAUAGGUAUUUUUCAAGUUGGUCUCUUUUGCACGGGAGGACUCUCUCCUGUCCAUUCUUUGGGUUAUACUCAUGUCGAUUAUUACACGUGAAGAGAACGGUGCGGUAAAUCCCUCAUUUUAGAGGAGAUAUAAUUUGAUGGAUCCUGUAUUAAUUUUUUUUUAAGGUAUCAUGCACUUAUUUUAUCUUCUCUACCAUCUUGUGUUGUGUGUGGAGCCCGAUUAAGAAAAACGAAAAAAAAAAAAACUGUUUCUGCCUAAAUGACUCGUUCCGCCUUUCCGCCUUUGCUUCUUCCCAUUUUUUUCGCGAAUCAGUUUCCCUAUCUCUCGUCGUCUCCGCCUCCUGCAGUUCGCGCUUGUCUCCGCCUCUCUUGCUUGCGAAAUAGAAGUUCAACGAUUCUUCUCUCUCGCUCGCUGUAGUUCACUCCUCCCGUCAUGUUCGUGAAACGGGAAAGGAGA